GAGGAUUUCCCCCUGCAGAGCGAACUAACGGUAACUGACUGGACCGGCUGGAGUCAGAACCUGCUGUUGGACGGCUUCAUGUGAGGGUCUUCUGGUGCCCCCGGACGAGGCCGAGCAGGCUGUGGAGUUGGUGAUGGGAGAGCAGUGAUGUGGUUAGACAGGCUUCACGCCUGCGCUAAUCUUUAGGAUUUGCAUCAAUCUUUUAUCUCUGCGGUGGCUACAAGGAGACCAGCGGAACCACCUGAACCUGUGGGACCUAAACAGGUACUCCAAAGACGGAAACGAUGAGCUCUUUUACUCGUCACUGACACAACAUGGAACUUCAGUCUUAUUGUAG